rnacentral:rRNA from 1 species
UACGGAGGGUGCGAGCGUUGUCCGGAAUCACUGGGCGUAAAGGGCGCGUAGGUGGCACGGGCAGUCGUCGGUGAAAGCUCAGGGCUCAACCCUGAGUCGGCCGGUGAUACUCCCGAGCUCGAGUGUGGUAGAGGCCAAUGGAAUUCCGGGUGUAGCGGUGGAAUGCGUAGAGAUCCGGAAGAACACCGGUGGCGAAGGCGGUUGGCUGGGCCACAACUGACACUGAUGCGCGACAGCGUGGGGAGCAAACAGG